rnacentral:rRNA from 1 species
UUUUACAGAUUUCUUCGGAAUGAAGUUUUAGUGACUGAGUGGCGGACGGGUGAGUAACGCGUGGGUAACCUGCCUCACACAGGGGGAUAACAGUUGGAAACGGCUGCUAAUACCGCAUAAGCGCACAGUACCGCAUGGUACAGUGUGAAAAAACUCCGGUGGUGUGAGAUGGACCCGCGUCUGAUUAGCUAGUUGGUAGGGCAACGGCCUACCAAGGCGACGAUCAGUAGCCGACCUGAGAGGAAGGUCCCCCACAUUGGAACUGAGACACGGCCCAAACUCC